UGGUGGGUAGUUUGACUGGGGCGGUCUCCUCCUAAAGAGUAACGGAGGAGCACGAAGGUUGGCUAAUCCUGGUCGGACAUCAGGAGGUUAGUGCAAUGGCAUAAGCCAGCUUGACUGCGAGCGUGACGGCGCGAGCAGGUGCGAAAGCAGGUCAUAGUGAUCCGGUGGUUCUGAAUGGAAGGGCCAUCGCUCAACGGAUAAAAGGUACUCCGGGGAUAACAGGCUGAUACCGCCCAAGAGUUCAUAUCGACGGCGGUGUUUGGCACCUCGAUGUCGGCUCAUCACAUCCUGGGGCUGAAGUAGGUCCCAAGGGUAUGGCUGUUCGCCAUUUAAAGUGGUACGCGAGCUGGGUUUAGAACGUCGUGAGACAGUUCGGUCCCUAUCUGCCGUGGGCGCUGGAGAACUGAGGGGGGCUGCUCCUAGUACGAGAGGACCGGAGUGGACGCAUCACUGGUGUUCGGGUUGUCAUGCCAAUGGCACUGCCCGGUAGCUAAAUGCGGAAGAGAUAAGUGCUGAAAGCAUCUAAGCACGAAACUUGCCCCGAGAUGAGUUCUCCCUGACUCCUUGAGAGUCCUGAAGGAACGUUGAAGACGACGACGUUGAUAGGCCGGGUGUGUAAGCGCAGCGAUGCGUUGAGCUAACCGGUAC
rnacentral:rRNA from 1 species